AGGUAAAUUUCUCCUAAGGCUAAAUAUUGGCGAGAGACCGAUAGCGAACAAGUACCGUGAGGGAAAGAUGAAAAGAACUUUGAAAAGAGAGUUAAACAGUACGUGAAAUUGUUGAAAGGGAAACGAUUGAAGUCAGUCAUACCAACGGGAAAUCAACCUCUUGAGCUCGGUCUCGUGGGUUUUGAAGAGUUUCAAAGCCUUCGGAUUCGCGGGAUUGGGAUCUCUUGGCGUAUUUUUUCGUACGGUUAGUCAACAUCGGUUUUGAAUGUCAUAAAAUGACUGGAGGAAUGUAGCUUCGAUCUCGUAUUGAAGUGUUAUAGCCUUUGGUAGAUGUGAUGUUUGAGAUCGAGGAUUGCAACGGAUACCCAUCAGGGCUAUUCGUCUGAUCUCUGAUACGUUGCCUUGAUGUUGAAAGCUUGCUUAUGAUGUUAGGGUAUUACGGUCAAAAGGUUAGAACGAAUUACAUUCGUUAAGGAUGUUGACGUAAUACCCUAACAUCAUAAGCAAGCUUUCAACAUCAAGGCAACGUAUCAGAGAUCAGACGAAUAGCCCUGAUGGGUAUCCGUUGCAAUCCUCGAUCUCAAACAUCACAUCUACCAAAGGCUAUAACACUUCAAUACGAGAUCGAAGCUACAUUCCUCCAGUCAUUUUAUGACAUUCAAAACCGAUGUUGACUA
rnacentral:rRNA from 1 species